rnacentral:rRNA from 1 species
GACGAACGCUGGCGGCACGCCUAACACAUGCAAGUCGAACGCCCCUUUCGAGGGGAGUGGCGGACGGGUGAGUAACGCGUGGGAACCUGCCCCGUGGUGGGGGACAACCCAGGGAAACCUGGGCUGAUACCGCAUAAGCCCAGUGGCUGUAGUGGUCAUUGGGGAAAGAUUUAUUGCCACGGGAUGGGCCCGCGUCGGAUUAGGUAGUUGGUGGGGUAACGGCCCACCAAGCCUACGAUCCGUAGCUGGUCNGAGAGGACGAUCAGCCACACUGGGACUGAGACACGGCCCAGACUCCUACGGGAGGCAGCAGUGGGGAAUUUGGACAAUGGGGGAACCCUGAUCCAGCCAUUCCGCGUGAGUGAAGAAGGCC